AACUAUCAAAUUCCUCCGGUGAAAAGCUAGCCGUAGACGUCAUGAAGCUUCCCACAAAAUCUCGUGCCGAUCGGAAAACAGACGAGACCACGAUCUUAGUUUCAAUUUCUGCUGGUCCUAAUUCGCGUAUGAGAAAACGUGUCUUACAAAUCUACGAAUAACUCAACCAAUUUAAAUCCAAAAGCACUUCUGAAAACUGGAGAAUAACGAUAAAAGACUUGGAAAUAACUCUACCAAAUUUCGUUACCUUUGACCACGAUUUGAUAUGACGAAACUGAUUUCUCCCAAACCCUAACGAUUUUGCUCAUUCUCCUUCUCUCUCUUUUUCUCCUUUAUAAAACCCUAAUUUCGAGUUUCCUUCUUUUAUAGACACACUCUAGGGUUUCCAAUUAACCUAACCAAUUAAACCGGAGGAUUUAAAAACAAACCCGAACCCAUUUUCCGGUUCACGGGCGUUAUAACUCUCCCCCACUAACAUAGAUUCGUCCUCGAAUCUAGCUUCACCCUUCCAUUCAGAGGAACUCCGUGCAACCAUCACUACGGUCCGCACUCCCUCCAACCAGACCCCCUCUAGGUCUCUCUAUCCAGUCGAUAUACUCACGAUUUACUAGUCAUUGUUGCUCACAACUCACUCUCCAUUCUCAUACCGCAAUAUUCGAGCAUAAAUCGUCACUCUCAGGCCUCGACCUAUGGUAUCUCGGGUAUCACACGUAUUAUCUUCCCCACUCAAAGUCAAACCCUAAGUUGUGUCAGCUCACUCUCAGCCACAAAGUCAUCGAGUUACGACACUUGGAGAAAAUAAUACCUCAAAACUCGCUCUCAGGUCAUCACCCUAAAGCGUGCUCUCGGAUCGUCACCCGAAGACACCGUACCCCUCACACUCUAAAGACACCAAGUCCCUCGAGUUACCGGUACCUCAGGAGCAUACCCCGCUCCUCACGAGUCGUUGGGACCCUCAUGUCCCUCGAGGAAACAAUACUAAACGCUUCCGAGCAUAUCUCCAGACUCUCUCAUGGAUUCGCGUAAGACACCUUUAUGCCUCACCAUCCAUCAUAUCCUCUCGGGAAUAUCCUUAUGACCAACUCCCGGCCAUUUCGUAAACACACCUCUCUCUUAGGUUGUUUACUCAAACUUUCCAAAAAUAGACAAGUCCUUUCUGGAAAACUUUCCAUUUCUGGAAACCGCACAACACAUUCUUAAAUAAGACAACUCUAGUCAAAUCAAAGAAAAAUACUCAUCUUAUUAAUCAUCAAAUGUCAUGAUCGUUACAACUCCAAACAAAAAUACAAAUGAAAGAGAAAUAAGAACAACAACUCAAAAGCUCAAAAACUCAACAACACUAAAACUGGAAACCAAGGAUAGGCAAACUCAUGCAGUAACCUUCUUCUCGAACCACUUCUAGAACCUUGCCUUCAUCCUCACCUCUGGCUCCCAAGUCUCCUCUGUCACACCAUCGCAGUCCCACAGGACUUUGAUCAAAGGAAUCUUCUUCCGCCGAAGUUCUUUAAUCCUCCUCUCGAGAACCCUCCCUGGUCUCGCCUCCAAAGUCAUGUUGGGCUGAAGAUCCUCUGGAAUCUUAGCCAACACCUCAUCAUCCUUGUGAAGACACUUCCUCAGCAUCGACACAUGAAAGACCUUGUGAAACGCACGCAUAACAUCUGUCAACUCUAACCUGUAUGCCACUGGUACCACCCUCUCAACAAUCCUGAACGGACCCAUGUACCUCGGACUCAACUUAGUCUCUGAGAUAGACCUGUUCGGACCACGUAACAUGGCCAUCUUGAGAUACACUCUUUCCCCAACCUCAAACUCAAGCUCUCUCCUCCUCUUGUCAGCAUAACUCCGAUGUCGAUCCUGAACUUCCUUCAUGUUCAGCUUAAGAACUCCGAUCCUCUCCGUGGUCUCCUGAACAUAAUUUGCACCAUAUAUGCUCCUCUCCCCCACUUGGGUCCAGCAUAAUUGUGUCCUGCAUGGCCUCCCGUACAACACCUCGAAAGGAGUCAUCCCAAUACUCGCCUGAUAGUUGUUGUUAUAAGCAAACUCUAUCAGACUCAACUGAUCCGCCCAAUGACCUCCCCAAUCCAAGACACACAUCCGCAACAUAUCCUCAAGCGUCUGGAUAGUCCUCUCAGAUUGCCCAUCUGUCUGUGGAUGAUAAGCCGUGCUCAUCUGUACCUUAGUGCCCAUCUCUGCCUGAAAGGCUCUCCAAAACGCAGAAGUAAACUUGGAAUCCCUGUCUGACACAAUACUCACAGGUACUCCAUGCAACUUCACGAUCUCGCUCACAUAUUUCUUAGUCAACACCGCCGCUCCAUCGGUUUUUCUGAUCGCCAGAAAAUGUGCUGACUUAGUUAGACGGUCCACGAUCACCCAAAUAGCAUCAAGUUCUGCUCUGGCUGAGUGAAGAUAUACUUCAGAGUCUUAUGAUCCGUGAACACCAGAACUUUUCUGCCAUAAAGAUAAGACCUCCAAAUCUUUAAGGCAAAGAUUACCGCAGCCAUCUCCAAAUCGUGAGUAGGAUAGUUUCCCUCAUGCUUCCUCAACUACCGCGAUGCAUAUGCUAUAACCUUCCCACGCUGCAUUAGAACAAAACCCAAACCAACUCUCGAGGCAUCAAUAUACACCAUGUAAGGCUCUCCAUGCUCUAGCAAUGCUAACACUGGUGUACUCGUCAACAUCUCCUUUAGGCUCACGAAACCCUCCUCGCACUCCGUUGACCACACAAAAGGAAUAUCCUUCCCUGUCAGCUUAGUCAUCGACUGUACCAUACUCGCAAACCCCUUAACGAACCUCCUGUAAUACCCUACCAACCCAAGAAAACUCCUGAUCUCAGUGGCAUUCGUCGGUCUAGGCCAGUCUCUGAUAGCCUCAAUCUUCUCUGGAUCCACUGAGACUCCCUCUGCCAGAAAACUGCACUUGCUCAACUUAGCGAACAACUUCUGCUCCCGUAGCUUCUCCAUCACUCUUCUAAGAUGUACCUCAUGCUCCUCAAGACUCUUAGAAUACACCAGAAUGUCAUCAAUAAAGAUGAUCACAAACUCAUCCAAAAACUCCUAGAACACGCUGUUCAUCAGCCUCAAGAACGUUGUAGGUGCAUUAGUCAAACCGAAAGGUAUCACCACGAACUCAAAAUGUCCAUAUCUCGUCCUGAAAGCAGUCUUGCGAAUAUCUGCCUCCGCUAUCGGGAUCUGGUGAUAACCCGACGUCAAAUCGAUUUUAGAGAAACAAGUAGCACCCCUCAACUGAUCCAACAACUCAUCGAUCCUUGGCAAAGGGUACCUGUUCUUCAUAGUGACCCGGUUCAACCCCCGGUAGUCAAUACAUAAGCAGAAACUUCAGUAUUUCUUCUUCGCAAAUAACACCGGCGCUCUCCAAGGUGAAGUACUAAGACGAAUGAAUCCCUUACCCAAUAAAUCCUCUAGCUGCUUCUUCAGCUCUACCAUCUCUGCUGGAGCCAUCCUGUAGGGUGCUUAGACAACAGCGCUGUCCCUGGUUCCAACACAAUCGUGAAAGGAUCAGACCAUGAUGGUGGUAAUCCCUGCAACGAUUGAAACACAUCCUCGAACUCCUGAACAACCCGAAUGUUGCUCACUGCUACUUGCCCCACAGACUCCGGCAUAGAUAUCGUCAUUAGGUAAGCCUCGCAGCCCUUCUCGAUCAUUUUCUCUGCCUCCACUACUGAGAUGACGAGACUCCCUGAGGUAGGUCUCACUCCCUAAUAAACCAACCUCCCUUCUGGCCGCUCAAAAGAAACUCUCCCAUGGUAGCAGUCAAAAGAAACUCUUCCAGAAUAACAUGAUACAACUCUACAGGGCUGAUAAUCAGAUCUGCUGCAUCGACUCCCCUGCAAUUUGAAUAUCCACACCCUUAGCUCUCCCCAGAACCUCUAGAAACUGCCCUCCAGCAACCUUGACGGAUCCAAACUGCUCACCAGGAUCCCCACGGAUGUUACCGCGCGAGGCACUCUUCGGGGUAAUGAAGCAAUGCGAUGCUCCAGAGUCAAACAACACAUGGGCCUCUACACCGUCCACUAAUAAGGUCCCUACACAAACCUCAUGUGCUAAUAACCCUAACAUUCAUCACAAAACAAUGAUAUCUAAAACAACAGAAAUAAUUCACAAAGUCUGAGUGUCAGAAAUCAUACCAGUGAUCGCUCUGUUGCUCGUACUGCCUAUCUCACGCGUAGUGUAGCCCUGCGGUGCCGCUCCAAUAUGUGCUAACUGCUGUACAUUUUGCUGCACUCCCUGCUGCACCUGCGCUCCUUGCUGCACCGCCGGUUGUACUACUGCCACAACCAUCAGCUGCAGCUUAGGACAAUUCGGCUUGAGGUGUCGUCUCUCCCUACAGUGGUAGCAUUCCCUCGUCUCAGCUCGCAGCUCGCUGCGUGCAAUCCGCUACUUUGUGGUCAAGGCUCCCACAAGAAAAACAUCCCGCACGACCCCCUGUCUAGCUUUAGAAGGAUGAUCCCACUUCCUCUUCUGCCCCUGCGCAGGGUUGCCGCCCUUGCUAGGUGCCACCUGCCGCUGAGUCUUCUUCGGUUGUACCGCUAGACUCACUGCCACCACUUGCUUCUAAAGGUCCUCCUCUACCUCAGCAGCUGUCUCCACCAGUGCCGCUUUUGUGGCGUACUGUGACACUCUACACCGCACCCUCCAGUCCGGUCGAAGUCCCCUCAAGAACCUCCUCAUCUGGGCCUGGUCAUCCUCCAUGCCCCGACCCGCAUACACCAAAAGUCGGUUAAACUCCCGGUCAUACUCCCGAACCGACCGCUCACCCUGUGUCAGCUCAAGAAAACGCGCCUCCAUACGGUCGAGCGCCUCUUGCGGACAGUACUUGGCAUUAAACUCAGCCACGAAAUCUGCCCAAAACAUAUCCGCCUGCCUCCUCUUGGCAGUCACACUCCGCCACCACAAAUGUGCAUCCCCCUCUAGAAAAUGCACUGCCAGAUCCACCAGAUACUCCACCGAGCAUUUGCUCGAACCGAAGUUCCGCUCAACCCGAGACCUCCAACUAUCGGCCUCCUCAGGACUAGUACCACCAGAAAAAUAUCCGGUGCCAAUCCUCUGCAACUGCUCCAUCAUCCUCAAAUAAGAUGGAACCUCCUCAGCAACUGCAGCCCUCUGCUGCACCUCCGCCACUCGUGGCGCAACUGGAGCCUGCACUGGUACCACACCUGGUAACCGCUUCAACAACUGUCUCAGUAGGCCCGCCAAACCAACCUCUAGAACCUGGGCUCCUCCGGCUGCGGCAGCCAACACUCCUGGGUCCUCAGCACCAACGACAUGCACACCGAUACCGACACCAGCUCCACUAGCCCCCACUUUGGCUGCACCAGCUAUAUCGGCACCAAGACCGUCCCCAACCCCGGCUCCACAAACCUAGGCUGCGAACCCAGAGUCUGCUCAACUGUGGCACUGUGCCCAUCACUCUCGCCGGUACCCUCGAGGACUCGUCCUCUAUCGCGACCACGACCACGAACUCCAGCUACUCAAGAACAAAAGGCUAAGAAUAUAGAACAAACGAAUAUAUCACAAACAACUUACCAUGGAAUCUCAUUUAAGGCUCAGAGAAGAUGAUGCUAGGACUCCAACAACACACAAUUGACUAAACACUCCAUAAUCAAUCCUCAGUAUGCUAACAUCCUAGCUCAUCCAACAUCAAUCAUUAGGAAAAUAAAUCAUCAAUUAAUUUUUCUACACAUCUUAUAACUGUGAUCGCUCUGAUACCAAAUUGAAACAACCUGACCCAUUUUUUUUUAAAACAUAAUUAAAUAUUCCCAUAAAUAUCUAAUUAAACCAACCAAUAAAACAACAAUUAAACCGCAAGUCAAAAAUAUUAUUUUAUGAAUAAAUAAAUAAUUCGACCAACAAAACCAAAAAUAACUAACAAUCCUAACCGGGUUCCAAUAACCAAAACACAAAAAUAAAACAAACGAGUUCCUAGAUCAUCCUCUCUUCUUUGUCAUGAUUCCACGAUCACACUUUAUCUUUACCUGCAUCAACAAUACAAUGAGAUGCGUAAGUAUUAUCAUAAAUACUUAGUGAGGCGAUCCUCCCAUCUACGAGCUAUACACACAAGCAAAUAAAAGGGUAUAAACACAAAUACAACACAAACACACCAGUCAUUGAACAAUUCACCAAAAAACACAUUCACCGUAUCUACAUAUUAUCACACAAAACAAAUCAUACAACCCAAUCGCUCAGAUAAGCUCAUGGUCAUGCACUCACCUUAACAAAUUGAUUCUAACAAUAAA
rnacentral:sRNA from 1 species